CAGCAGUAGGGAUCUUCCGCAAUGGACGAAAGUCUGACGGAGCAACGCCGCGUGAGUGAUGAAGGUUUUCGGAUCGUAAAACUCUGUUGUUAGGGAAGAACAAGUACCGUUCGAAUAGGGCGGUACCUUGACGGUACCUAACCAGAAAGCCACGGCUAACUACGUGCCAGCAGCCGCGGUAAUACGUAGGUGGCAAGCGUUGUCCGGAAUUAUUGGGCGUAAAGCGCGCGCAGGCGGUUUCUUAAGUCUGAUGUGAAAGCCCCCGGCUCAACCGGGGAGGGUCAUUGGAAACUGGGGAACUUGAGUGCAGAAGAGGAGAGUGGAAUUCCACGUGUAGCGGUGAAAUGCGUAGAGAUGUGGAGGAACACCAGUGGCGAAGGCGACUCUCUGGUCUGUAACUGACGCUGAGGCGCGAAAGCGUGGGGAGCGAACAGGAUUAGAUACCCUGGUAGUCCACGCCGUAAACGAUGAGUGCUAAGUGUUAGAGGGUUUCCGCCCUUUAGUGCUGCAGCAAACGCAUUAAGCACUCCGCCUGGGGAGUACGGUCGCAAGACUGAAACUCAAAGGAAUUGACGGGGCCCCCC
rnacentral:rRNA from 2 species